UAUCUAUGUGAUCCCCAGCGUUUGAAGGCUGACAAAUGGCUGCCGCGUUCACUCUGUCCACCCCUGCGGCGCUCCUCCCCCGUCACUCCGCCGCUGGCCCCUCCCUCUCCUUUCGCCUCGAAAGCAGGCGCCUGUCGCGGCGCGGGCAGUGCGCCGCCACACGGCGGGAUGACGGCUGCCCGCGUCGGUUGCCGGCAGCGGCCGUUGAGGCGACGUGCGGUCGGACAAGGAGAGCCACGGCCGUGGCGGCGGCCCAAGGCCAGGCGGAGGCCGAGAAUGGGACCGAGGGAUCGCUGCGGAUGGUCCUACUCAGCACCGCGGUGGCCGUGUGCGGGUCCUUCGAGUUCGGCACCUGUGUUGGGUAUUCUGCGCCGGCUCAAGCUGGAAUUGUGAGCGACAUUGGACUGUCCAAUUCUCAGUAUGGUGUGUUUGCAUCUAUCUUGGCAAUUGGUGCAAUGAUUGGCGCUCUGAUUAGUGGGCGUCUUGCAGACACUCUUGGACGCAAAAUGACCAUGCGGUUGGCAGCAGUUGUAGGCGUUUUCGGCUGGCUUACUAUAUACUUAGCUGAGGGUGCAAUGAUGCUCUACUUUGGAAGAGUCUUGCUGGGCAUCUGUACCGGACUUCUGUCCUAUGUGGUGCCUGUGUUCAUAGCUGAAAUAGCACCAAAGGAUCUUCGAGGAGGCCUUACAACGUCAAACCAGUUGUUCAUUUGUUCAGGGUGUUCAGCUGCUUACAUUAGUGGAGCACUGCUUUCAUGGCGCUCUUUGACUCUAGUAGGACUAGUCCCUUGCGCUUUCCUCUUUUGGGGGCUUCUCUUCAUUCCUGAGUCUCCAAGGUGGCUGGCCAAUACAGGGAGAGAGAAAGAAUUUCGUACUUCACUGCAAAAUCUUAGGGGUGAAAAUGCUGACAUAUCUGACGAGGCUACUGAGAUUAGAGAGUACAUUGAAACAGUUCACCACUUACCUAAGGCCAGGAUUCAAGAUUUGCUCCAGAGCAAAAAUAUGUUCGCAAUGAUUGUGGGUGCUGGUUUGAUGAUCUUUCAGCAACUGGGUGGAAUAAAUGCGAUAGGCUUCUAUACAAGCUACAUUUUUUCCUCUGCAGGAUUUUCUGGGAAACUUGGCACCAUCUUGAUUGGCGUUAUUCAGAUUCCAAUCACAUUAUUUGGGGCCCUUCUCAUGGAUAGGAGUGGAAGAAGAGCCCUUUUACUGGUCUCUUCAUCUGGAACAUUUUUGGGCUGCUUUCUGACUGGGCUAUCAUUCUACUUUAAGGCACAAGGAUUGCACACACAGUUGGUCCCUGCGUUGGCUCUUUAUGGCAUAUUGGUACACAAGUUACAAUAGUUGAAACUUCUACUCUACUAUGCAUACUACAUGGCAUACUCAAUUGGAAUGGGACCUAUUCCUUGGGUUAUCAUGUCUGAGAUAUUUUCAAUCGACAUGAAAGCAAUAGCUGGAAGCUUGGUAACCCUGGUUAGCUGGUUAGGUUCCUUUGCAAUUUCAUAUUCAUUCAGCUUCCUAAUGAAUUGGAAUUCUGCAGGCACCUUCUUUUUGUUCUCUGCAGCGAGCCUGGUCACUAUGUUGUUCGUGGCAAGGCUAGUGCCAGAAACUAAAGGGACAACACUCGAAGAGAUCCAAGAGUCAUUAAUGGGCGUGGGUUUGACAGAUUAAGAGGGAGACAAUGUAGGGAAUGUACAACAAUUUUUUCUGUAUGUAAGGAAAAAACUAGUACUCUAACAAAUUCGUCUGCUUGUCAAUCAAUUCCAGCCAUUUGAUAUGUGCAUUGUUACUUCUCUAGCGAGAUAAUUGUUGCUUAUUGUUGCAUUUUACCAUGUAUUGUCA